rnacentral:tRNA from 1 species
GAGGGUAUAGCUCAGUGGUAGAGUACAUGCUUAGCAUGCACAAGGUCCUGGAUUCAAUCUCCAGUACCUCCA